rnacentral:rRNA from 1 species
UACGUAGGGUGCGAGCGUUGUCCGGAAUUAUUGGGCGUAAAGAGCGUGUAGGCGGCCAUACAGGUCCGUUGUGAAAACUCGAGGCUCAACCUCGAGACGUCGAUGGAAACCGUAUGGCUAGAGUCCGGAAGAGGAGAGUGGAAUUCCUGGUGUAGCGGUGAAAUGCGCAGAUAUCAGGAAGAACACCCGUGGCGAAGGCGGCUCUCUGGGGGACGGUACUGACGCUGAGACGCGAAAGCGUGGGGGAGCGAACAGG